rnacentral:rRNA from 1 species
GAUGAACGCUGGCGGCGUGCCUAAUACAUGCAAGUAGAACGCUGAAGGAGGAGCUUGCUCUUCUGGAUGAGUUGCGAACGGGUGAGUAACGCGUAGGUAACCUGCCUGGUAGCGGGGGAUAACUAUUGGAAACGAUAGCUAAUACCGCAUGACAACAGUUAUUGCAUGAUAACUGUUUAAAAGGGGCAACUGCUCCACUACCAGAUGGACCUGCGUUGUAUUAGCUAGUUGGUGAGGUAACGGCUCACCAAGGCGACGAUACAUAGCCGACCUGAGAGGGUGAUCGGCCGCACUGGGACUGAGACACGGCACAGACUCCUACGGGAGGCAGCAGUAGGGAAUCGUCGGCAAUGGACGGAAGUCUGACCGCGCAACGCGGCGUGAGUGAAGAAGAUUUUCGGAUCGUAAAGCUCUGUUGUAAGAGAAGAACGAGUGUGAGGGUGGAAAGUUCACACUGUGACGGUAACUUACCAGAAAGGGACGGCUAAGUACGUG